rnacentral:other from 1 species
UGCCUGCCAUGUGCGUGAUAGUAUUUCUUUUUGGACCGACACGAAUAUUCAGGGAGUUUGAGUUCCGUUUUGGGAAUGCAGGCCUCCCGCCCCACCCGCUUUUGCCGGUGGCGGCGGACGUUGGAAGCACAAAGGGACGGGGGAGGACACCCACCUGCCAAUGCAGGGUCGAAUAUGGAUACUACACGGCACGGCGGGUUU